rnacentral:rRNA from 1 species
CCUACGGGAGGCAGCAGUAGGGAAUCUUCCACAAUGGGCGAAAGCCUGAUGGAGCAACGCCGCGUGAGUGAUGAAGGCCUUCGGGUUGUAAAACUCUGUCAUUCGGGACGAACCGGAGUCUGAGGAAAUGCAGACUCUCUGACGGUACCGGAGGAGGAAGCCCCGGCUAACUACGUGCCAGCAGCCGCGGUAAUACGUAGGGGGCAAGCGUUGUCCGGAUUCACUGGGCGUAAAGCGCGCGCAGGCGGUGAUGUAAGUCUGAGGUGAAAACCCGAAGCUCAACUUCGGGACUGCCUUGGAUACUGCGUCACUUGAGGAUAGGAGAGGCAAGGGGAAUUCCACGUGUAGCGGUGAAAUGCGUAGAGAUGUGGAGGAACACCUGUGGCGAAGGCGCCUUGCUGGCCUAUUUCUGACGCUGAGGCGCGAAAGCGUGGGGAGCAAACAGGAUUAGAUACCCUGGUAGUCCACGCUGUAACCGAUGAGUGCUAGGUGUAGGUGGGCUCAUACCCAUCUGUGCCGAAGCUAACGCAUUAAGCACUCCGCCUGGGGAGUACGGUCGCAAGACUGAAACUCGAAAUGAAUUGACGG